UACGUAGGGUGCGAGCGUUGUCCGGAAUUACUGGGCGUAAAGAGCUUGUAGGUGGUUUGUCGCGUUGGUUCGUGAAAUCUCACGGCUUAACUGUGAGCGUGCGGGCGAUACGGGCAGACUAGAGUACUGCAGGGGAGACUGGAAUUCCUGGUGUAGCGGUGGAAUGCGCAGAUAUCAGGAGGAACACCGGUGGCGAAGGCGGGUCUCUGGGCCGAUACUGACGCUGAGGAGCGAAAGCGUGGGGAGCGAACAGG
rnacentral:rRNA from 1 species